AUUGAACGCUGGCGGCAUGCCUUACACAUGCAAGUCGAACGGUAACGCGGGGCAACCUGGCGACGAGUGGCGAACGGGUGAGUAAUAUAUCGGAACGUGCCCAGUUGUGGGGGAUAACUGCUCGAAAGAGCAGCUAAUACCGCAUACGACCUGAGGGUGAAAGCGGGGGAUCGCAAGACCUCGCGCAAUUGGAGCGGCCG
rnacentral:rRNA from 1 species